UGGAUUAUUUCACAUUGAACGCAU
rnacentral:siRNA from 1 species